rnacentral:rRNA from 1 species
AUCCAGACUCCUACGGGAGGCAGCAGUGGGGAAUAUUGCACAAUGGGGGAAACCCUGAUGCAGCGACGCCGCGUGAGCGAUGAAGUAUUUCGGUAUGUAAAGCUCUAUCAGCAGGGAAGAAGAUGACGGUACCUGACUAAGAAGCCCCGGCUAACUACGUGCCAGCAGCCGCGGUAAUACGUAGGGGGCAAGCGUUAUCCGGAUUUACUGGGUGUAAAGGGAGCGUAGACGGCGAUGCAAGCCAGAUGUGAAAGCCCGGGGCUCAACCCCGGGACUGCAUUUGGAACUGUGUGGCUGGAGUGUCGGAGAGGCAGGCGGAAUUCCUAGUGUAGCGGUGAAAUGCGUAGAUAUUAGGAGGAACACCAGUGGCGAAGGCGGCCUGCUGGACGAUGACUGACGUUGAGGCUCGAAAGCGUGGGGAGCAAACAGGAUUAGAUACCCGCGUAUCA